UUGAGCAGGAAGUCCUGAAUAGGUUGUUCAUGAAAUGAAGUUUCUUGUUUGAGGGAUUGAGAGGAACCAGUAUAUAUUGUGUGUCUCUUUAUUUAUUUUUGCAUUUAUAUUCCGAUGUGCAACAAAGUAUAAAGUCAGACUCUGAUUUGAUGUAGACUUUUACUUGUAUUAGAAUCUGAGCUUGAAGUCUCAGGUUCUGAACAAGUUUAAGAAAAAGAAGUAAAUUUCCA
rnacentral:lncRNA from 1 species